CUUGGAGGAAAAUCUGCGCUCCAGCAGCUGGGACCGAGGCAUGAGAGCGUUGAAUCAUGAGUGGCACCGUUCGCAAAAAUUGGUGUCUUUGUACAAAGACAGUGCCACAACACAACUCAGUGACCAUCGGGAGAGCAGCCUCAUGAUGGGCGAUGCUCCAUCAGUUUUCUCUUGCGAUCUUUUGCAUAGAUCGGUCCCGCCCCGCAUAUGGCGAUGAGGACUCAAGAGACACGGAAAACGUUUUCUUUCUGGAAAACAUGAAAUAGGCUUUGUAGAUGGACAGGAAGUCAAGGGACAAGCGGUGCGCCGCAGAGAGCGAGGACCCACUCUUCUAUUCCUUUGCGGAGGCACGGACACACGGUGUGGCCCGAAACAGCGGCAGGAGAGUGAGACCCGGGCUCCGACCGCGGUGAGUCUCAUUCUGUCGCCCAGGCUGGAGUGCAGUGGCAUGAUCUUGGCCCACUGUAACCUCUGCUUCCCAGGUUGAAGAGAUUCUCGUGCCUCAGCCUCCUGAGUAGUUGGGAUUACAGGCAUGUACCACCAUACCUGGGUAAUUUUUGUAUUUUUUAGUAGACUCGGAGUAGUUUUGCCAUGUUGGCCAGACUGGUCUCAAACUCCUGGCCUCAAGUGAUCCACCCGCCUUAGCCUCCCAAAGUAUUGGUAUUACAGGCGUGAGCCACUGUGCCUGGCCAACUUCUGUGUUUCAUAUAAUUUUUAGUAAAGUCUCCCACUAUUUAAGAUUAUUCUUAAAGCUCCUAUGUUUUUUUAAAAAGUACUUUGAUAGUGUCUUUGUAUAUGUAAAUAUUUGAUUCAUCUGGAAUUUAUUUUGGUGUAAAGGUGUGAGAUAGAGAUCCAAUUUUGUUUUGUUUUAUUCAAAUCCUUCUUAUUGAAUAACCCAUGUUUUCUCCAUUGUUUUUGAAUGCUACCUUUAUAAUACCAAAUUGCCAUAUGUAUUUGGGUCUAUUUCUGGAUUUUUUUCAUUUUGUUCCAUUGAUCAUUAAUUUUUUUUUUUUUUUUUUUAGACGGAGUCUCACUCUGUCACCCAGGCUGGAGUGCAGUGGCACGAUCUCGGCUCACUGGAACCUCCAACUCCCUGGUUCAAGCGAUUCUCCUGCCUCAGCCUCCCGAAUAGCUGGGACUACAGGUGCCCACCACCACACCUGGCUAAUUUUUUGUAUUUUUAGUAGAGACGGGGUUUCACCGUGUUAGCCAGGAUGGUCUCGGUCUCCUGACCUGGUGAUCCGCCCGCCUCGGCCUCCCAAAGUGCUGGGAUUACAGGCAUGAGCCACUGCGCCCGGCCUAAAAAUUUUUUAAAUUGUAUACAUUAUGGUUUUUUUUUUUACCACAAUUUAAAAAAUUAAUUUAUAAUAUACAUGCAGAAAAAUGCACAAAUGACAAGUAUAUAUCUUGAUGAAUUUUCACAAAUGGAAUACAUUUGUGUAACCAGCAGCAGAUCAAGAAACAGAACAUUGCUAGUGCCCCAGAAGCCACUUGUGUGUUCCCUCUCAGUCACUGCUCUUCUCAAGGACAACCACUCUUCUGACUCCUGAUACCAUAAACUAAUUUUGCCUGUUCUUGCUUUUUAUAUAAAGAGAAUCACAGAGUAUGUACUCUUUUGUGUCUGGCUUCCUUUGUUCAAAUUAUUUCUGUGAGAUUCAGCCAUAUUGUGUAUAGUUUUAGUCCCUUCAUUCUGACUACUGUGUGGUAUAAUAUUGUGAGGCUAUAUUGAACCAUAAUUUACUCUUCUAUUCUGUUACUGUUAUUUUGGCUGGAAUCACAUAUUUUUAGAUUAUCUAAAGGAGAAUGUAUGAUAAGAAUCUUCCUAUCUUCCUAUACAUUCAAGUCAUUGGUACCCCAUCAGUAGAAUUUUAGUUUUCAUUAUGUAGAAUUUACAUACUUCUUAUUAAAAUUAUUCCUAGGUAUUGAGUGCCUUGAUUGCUAUAGCUAUUUUUACUUUAAAAAAAGUAAAAUGGUAGUUCAAAUCCAAGGAAGAAUGUGUCCAGUGUUGCUAUAAAAAUACAGACCUACUUUAUGGGUCCAUCUUCUUCUAGCUCCAGUGAAGGUGGGAUGGGCAAAAAAGAGGAAAUGAAGUCCAAAAAGGGGGUUACACUUUAUAGUUAAACCACAAGAGGAAUUUAUUUCUUUUUUAAGACAGAGUCUUGCUCUGUUGCCCAGGCUUGGGGCAAUGGCAUGAUCUCUACUCACUGCAACCUCCACCUCCCGGGCUCAAGCGAUCCUCCUGCCUCAGCCUCCCAAGUAGCUGAGACUACAGACAUGCACCACCACACCCGGCUAAUUUUUGUCUUUUUAGCAGAGAUGGGGUUUCACCAUGUUGCCCAGGCUGGUCUCCAGCUCCUGGGCUCAAGGCAUCCACCUGCCUUAGCCUCCCAAAGUGCUGGGAUUACAGGAGUGAGUCAGUGUGCUCAGCCUCACAGGAGGAAUUUCUUAAUCAGAGCAGUGAAAAGCCAGGUGGCAUCACUUUUCCCGGAUUUUUUUUUUUUUUUUUUGAGAUGGAGUCUCACUCUAUCAUCCAGGCUGGAGUGCAGUGGCACGAUCUUGGCUCACUGCAACCUCUGCCUCCCGGGUUCAAAUGAUCUUCCUGCCUCAGCCUCCCGAAUAGCUGGGAUUAUAGGUGCACACCACCACACCCGGCUAAUUUUUGUAUUUUUAGUAGAGAUGGGGUCUCACCAUGUUGCCCAGGCUGAUCUUGAACUCCUGAUCUCAGGUGAUCCACCUGCCUCAGCAUCCCAAAGUGCUGGGAUUACAGGUGUGAGCCACUAUGAUCUUAUUUUAAAAUGAGAUUUAUUUGAUCUUAUUUUAAAAUCAGAUUGAAUUCUAACUUGCUGGGUAGGGAGGUUGGGGAGCAGAAGAAAUAACUUCGAGUGAGCUGAUGCCAAACUCACCCUCAAGUCACUGUACAUUUGGGAUUUGUCAUCUCAUUUCUCCUCUCAGAUCCCAAAUCAGGAUUGAAAGAUUGAAUUGUGAGAUGCUGGGAUUGAGUGAAUUGUAAUUUCUUUAUUCUCAUCUCCAGUCCUAAGAGUCUAUUCUCUUUCCCUGAAGGGUGUUCUGAACAGGCUGUGGGAGGCAUUAGGUGGAGUGAGUUAAGAUAAGUUCUGGGUUUCCCAGAGGGUUCAGUGAGCAGGUGUUCCCUUUAGUAAACUGAAGCAGGAAAGAAGAUCUUAGCUAGGGAUCUGGGCAGUGAGGGGCUCUGAAAUACAAGGAGCCUGGCUCCGGAGCCUUGGCUGCCCACAGAGUUCCUUCCCUGUACAACAUACGAAUGAUUCAUUCAAGUGCUGUUCAGCUGUCUGAGUCUGAAAAACAGCACUCAUCUCUCCUGUUGCCCAUCGUAGGAGUCACCCCCUCCUCCCCACUUAAGCCUCUUCACCAGAAACCAGCGACUGGGAGCAGAGCCUUAGUGUCCUCACUUAUGCUGGUGCUACUAUUCAAUCUUUAGGCCAGAUUUAAUUGUGGCAGAUGCCCUAGGAAAGAAUUCUCCUCAGCCUCUCUGACCACCACCACCCAGCUCUAUCUUCCUACUUAAUUCCCCUUACGAAGCAAUUUGGAGGAACAGGACCCAGGAGUCCCUGUUUUCAGAUACUCUCCAGCCUGAGUCACCACCGUACUGACUUCUUACAGCAAGAGUUCCACCCAAAGUCUCUUGCCUCUCCCUCAGAUGGGUGCUGGUGGGAGAAGGGGACAGGGGAGGAGAGAAUGAUGGAGCAUUUUUGUGUGUUUUCUUGCUGGGCCCAUUGUAAUACCUGCUCUUACCUGUGCUAACAUCCACUUUGAACGGUAGUCCUUCUCAGCCUUUUCUCUUUGCCUCUAAUGGACCCUGGGGAGCAAAGGUGGCCUGAGGCCUCAGUUUCUGCUGCAACCUGUGGCUUCUUAUAGCAGAAUUUUUAACCUAUAUUCUAUGGAGUCUGUGAUGGCUUCAGAAUAACUGGAUAAUUUACAAACAUUUUUGUUCACAGCUUGCAUCAGGGAUUCUCAGAGGGAUCUGUGACUCAAAAAAAGUUGAGGAUCAUUGCUUAGCCGGGCUCUCAUCUCCUGAAUCAGGGAUCCAGCACAGCACAGGAAAUAGAAGUCAGAAAUAGAGAAAGAUUGUAUGGGGGAAGGAAAUGUGAAGUGCUGAGAUGGUGCCACAGCAUCUUUGGGUCCAGAGUUCUCUCUCAGCUUAGGUAAGACCAUGUCUGAGAUGGAAGAGAGAGGGGUAGAAGGAGAGCAGGAUGGAAUGUCCUCAGAAAGGUUCUGUCAAGCAGGGGUAGGCAGAAGGUAGGCAGAGUCAAAUUCUUCUCCAAUCUGAAGUAGCUCACAGAUUGUUCCACCAAUCUGUGCAACCUCUCUCUAACCUAGGAGGUUGUUGAGGUUAGAACCCAGAAAAGAACUAGGAAAUGUGAAGCCUCCAUUUCAGAGAAUCCUUUGCUGGAAGCCAGGCAUUUCACUGAAGUCCAUUUACUCCCUGGAAUUUCUGCUCCUUUCUAUCAGUCCCUGAGGCAGAGGCUGUAAGGACAUUGGGAGAGGGGACUGAGAAGAAAGAGUAAAAACAAAGAAAAACCCCAACAUCCUGAAUCAGGUGCAUUAGAGUUAAUGAAGAAUGUAAGGACCAAUAACUUAGCCCAGUCCCCACUGAAAGUUCAGAGUGGAUGCAUUGGAAGAUUUCUCCUUUCUUACAGGUCGUGUCCUGCAACUGAAAGGCCCUGGGAGAGAGAGCCGUGAGGGCAUGGCAGUGAGGAUGGCAGUGUGGUGGAAAGGGGGAGUUUUCAAUCAGACAGCCAUGAGCUCAAAUAGCUAGUUACUAUUUACUAACUAGCUCUGUGCACUUGAGCACUUACUCUCUUUGACCUUUAGUUUCACCAGCUAAGAUGCCUCUCUACUUUAUAGGGUUGAUGUAAGGAUUAAAUAAGAAAAUAUAUAUAAAGCCACUGACAUAGAAUAGGCCCUCAAUAAAUGUUAUUUUCUUCUCUUUGAACUGCUGUCCCACCCUGGGCAGAGCCUCCAUUAGAUUGUCCCCAUGAUGUGGUACCAUACAUCCCUGCACAUGGGCCACAAAACUUCUGCAUACACACCACCCACUCAUGUCCUUGGCUGCAUUUGCACACUCAUCAGCACACACACAGCAGCCUGUGCCAUCACAGCUGAGCUGAGGGCAGUCUUCCCGACAGGUAAGAUGAGGGACUGGCAUGCUAACGCUUGGACAAGCUGUGGAAGUGCUCAUCAUAGUAAGCUUGUUUCCUGAAUGGGCUUCACCCCUCAAAAGUGUUCUGGUAAAGCUGUGAAAGGAGACUAAGGGGCUGUGGUGGGACUAACUCCAUAGGCAUUUCCUUGAGAUUAAAUGUGUUUCUUGAGGGAUACUUUGUCCACCCACCACUGCCAAGGAGACCUUAGUCUAUACGCCAGGUUGCAAUGUCUGAAGCUUUGCUGUCCAAUAUGGUAGCCAUUGGCCACAUGUGGCUAUUGAAUGCUUGUAAAGGUAGGUGGUACAGCUGAGGAAUGGAAUUUUAAAUUUGUUUAAUUUAAAAUUUAAGACAGAGAUUCGAUUCAGUUAUUGGAAAAUGUUUUAUGUUUGAAAAAACUUAGAUGUGUGAAUCCACUUUCUCAACAGUGACCUGUAUGAAAUAUAGAUUUUUCUGGUGAAAAUUUAGUAACUGAAUUGCGAUGUUGAGAUGUACUGUAAGUGUAAAAUAUACACUGGAUUUUAAAGACCUAAUAUGAAAAAAUGUUAAAUAUUUUAUGAUUGAUUUUUAUAUUGAUAAUAUAUUGAAAUGAUAAUAGUUUGGGUAUAUUGGGUUAAAUAAAGUAAGUAUUUAAAUGUAUCCGUUUCAUUUUGAUUUUUUAAUUUAGUAGCUACUAGAAAAUUUGAAAUUACAUGUGUGACUUAGAUUCUGUGUCUGUUGGGUAGCUCUGCUCUGGAGACUUUGAGACUUCAGAGACCUUGGGCAGCAGCAUGUCCCAGCACCAGACAGUCAUCUGUUCCCCAGAGCGUCAGGGGCUUCCCAGAGAAGAUUUCUCUGAACAGCAUUGCUGCUUCCGCAUUGCAGAGAGGGCAACUAGAGUGAGAACCUUCAGCGUCUGACUCCCAAGUCCCAACCUAAUAAGCUGCUGGUGGAAGGUUAUGGAAAGGAGCGGGAGGGCUGUGCCCCAGGAAAUCUGUCUGGUACAUUAUACACUAAAGAAGGGGAAGUUGCUGGGAUGCUGAUUGAGUUGUGUGUGCAUGGUGGGUGGGGAGGUUGCAGGCUCAGGGAAACUCGUUUCUCAAGCAGGUCAGUUUCUCCAGCCCCACUCUCCUGUCUGCCUGGUUCUCACAUUCACCUCUGGUACUACCCCCAUAUUCCUAUCUCUGCCCCACUAAAGAGCGGCCUGCCUGUGAAGUCCAGCUUCACCUCCUCAGUGGCUCUGAGUGUCUCAUCUGUCGGGCAGUUUGAGCUGGGAAUCUUCUAAUGAGUGGAGUCUCCUCAGAGCAAGGACAACAGCAGCAGGAAUCAACUAGAAAGCUCACAAUGCUUGCAUCUGGUUUGGUGUAGGGGUGGGUGGGAGGAAACUAAGGACGCUGGGUAGAUGCUACUGCGCAGAAAGGCUCCCUAGGGCCACGUGAUUCUUCCCUUCUCAGUCCCUCCUCCGACUCCUCUCCUCUCCCUGUCACUCCUCCCUUCCAGUGAUGCUGAGGCUGUUGCUCUGUUCCUUGAGCUUCCAGCAUCUCUACUUCUUUUUGGGCUCUGCUUUGCCCUCUAUUUGAAGCACAGUCAGUGGUACUCAGCAGUUUCACCUCCUACUCCACCUCCCCAUCUGGGGGUCUCUGUAAAUCAGUGACCUCUACCCGGAGACAGCUUCCCACUGGGGCUGCACUAAGCACAGAACCAGAGGAAGCUGCAGAAGGAUGGUGGAAAUUAACUAGGCAGGCAGUUACUGCUGUUCCCCCUUCCCUCCACUUCUCACUACAGCCUGCUGUGCCCUCCUCCCUGUUCCUCCAAGCCUAGUCUCUGCAGUGUCCUGGGUCUCUCUCCUUUGACAACUGCGGAUUCUUGUGUUUGUUAGUCAUUAUCUUGGAGUUCUGAGUUUUCCCCAAGGGCACUAGGGAUCUGUGACGCAAAAAUGAUGAGGAGCUCCCAUGGAGAAAUGGGAAAGAGAGGCAGCAACUGGGUGUCCCAGGUGGAAUUUCUAUGUAGGGGUCCCCUGGAAGGUAGAGGAUCGCUCCUUCUCCAGUUCCAGAGAUGGGGAGUGAAAGGGAAAGGAUUGAGGCUGAAACCGGGGCUAGGAGUGCUGAUCCCUCCGGGCAUGGAGGUGGGGGUGCAGGGCGGUGAGGAAAGUGAAGGUGGGAGGGGCACUCCUUACCCUGUUUGUCAGGCAGGUUAGAUGGAGGCAAUGCCAUUGGGACACA
rnacentral:lncRNA from 1 species